GUGUAAAUAGCUCAAAGGUAGAGCAUUGCUUUUCUAAAGCAACGGUUAUAAGUUCAAGUCUUUUUUUACAUU
rnacentral:tRNA from 1 species